rnacentral:tRNA from 1 species
UAAUAAAGGUAAAUUAACCAUUCUCACUUACAAAGAGACAUAGCUGUGUAAGCCAGCUAUUUA